rnacentral:lncRNA from 1 species
GCAUAUUUUCUGUAUCUUCCAUGAUGCCUUGUUCUUCUAUUGCCUUUGUUGACUUGGUGUUCAUAUCCUCAUCUUUGGUUAUCAUGCAUUCAAUCUGCAUAUUUUGUGUAUGCUCGUCCUUCGCUCCUUUGUUGAUGUUUUCCUAAAAAUCAAAGCAUAUAUUAUUAUCACGCGGUACACAUUCAGCCCUUAUGUUUUGUUAGCUUGAAAAUCGAUCUUAUAUGUUGGGACGUAGGGAGUACAUCACAACUGUAUGCACAUAUUUGCUUAUGUUUACUUAACAUAGUGGUAUCAGGACAUCCUUUCCAACUAAAUUUCACUAUCUAUUUCUUUUUUUAAUUGUUCAGUCAACUUUUCGAGACUAACUUGCGUGACUAUUCUCUCUAGUAAUCAGGUGGAAAGGACGGCAGCAAUAUGCUUAUUUUGCUCGCGGGCUUGUCAUUGUCGCUUUAAUAUUCCCUCUCUAUUUUGUGCAUACCGCUCCCUUUCCAUCCAAUUCUUAAUCUCAUCAUGGCCUGAGUAGAUGAAGCAUAGAUCAUUAUAUAGCAAUAUAACUGGGCCAUGUAGGAUGAAGUUCAUGUUCAUUACCUUGUGAUACAGCCAGCUGUGUUUGUGCCCCACUGCUCUCGGCAGAGGCAAUUUUCUUCUGUUUAUAGGCCUCACGUCGUCUCUUAUUAAUCUCAUCCUUGUUUUGUGCAUACCGCUCUCUA